rnacentral:rRNA from 1 species
GGAGAGUUUGAUCCUGGCUCAGGACGAACGCUGGCGGCGUGCUUAACACAUGCAAGUCGAGCGGUAAGGCCUUUCGGGGUACACGAGCGGCGAACGGGUGAGUAACACGUGGGUGAUCUGCCCUGCACUUCGGGAUAAGCCUGGGAAACUGGGUCUAAUACCGGAUAUGACCUCCUAUCGCAUGGUGGGUGGUGGAAAGAUUUAUCGGUGCAGGAUGGGCCCGCGGCCUAUCAGCUUGUUGGUGGGGUAAUGGCCUACCAAGGCGACGACGGGUAGCCGACCUGAGAGGGUGACCGGCCACACUGGGACUGAGACACGGCCCAGACUCCUACGGGAGGCAGCAGUGGGGAAUAUUGCACAAUGGGCGAAAGCCUGAUGCAGCGACGCCGCGUGAGGGAUGACGGCCUUCGGGUUGUAAACCUCUUUCAGCAGGGACGAAGCGCAAGUGACGGUACCUGCAGAAGAAGCACCGGCUAACUACGUGCCAGCAGCCGCGGUAAUACGUAGGGUGCAAGCGUUGUCCGGAAUUACUGGGCGUAAAGAGUUCGUAGGCGGUUUGUCGCGUCGUUUGUGAAAACCAGCAGCUCAACUGCUGGCUUGCAGGCGAUACGGGCAGACUUGAGUACUGCAGGGGAGACUGGAAUUCCUGGUGUAGCGGUGAAAUGCGCAGAUAUCAGGAGGAACACCGG